CCUAAAGCAUGCUUGCUUUGUGAAAUUUCCACUCCUGGAAACGUUCACAUGCAUCUCAUAUAGCAGAGUAUCAUCUGCACGAACCUCACAUGACUCACUGAUGGCAGCAUGUGAUUUUUCUUUUUCAGGUCCCACUGGCAUUUGACUGAAUAUGGUCAUUUCAGUUCAUUUCACUGCAUUUUGUUGCCACACCACACAACCAGUAAAUCUGACCAAUGGCCAUGGAUCUCCAGCAGGGGAUUUGGUUUACCAGGAGCGACUCUCUCGCUUGGAAAGUGACAAAGAAUGUCUAGUGCUCCAGGUAAGUGUUCUGACAGACCAGGUGGAAGUUCAAGGAGAAAAAAUAAAGGAC